CAGGGGGUAGUUUAAUUUAAAAUGUUAACUUUGGAGGUUAAUGAUAGGAGUUUUCUUUUCCCUGA
rnacentral:tRNA from 1 species